rnacentral:rRNA from 1 species
AUUGAACGCUGGCGGCAGGCCUAACACAUGCAAGUCGAGCGGAUGACGGGAGCUUGCUCCUUGAUUCAGCGGCGGACGGGUGAGUAAUGCCUAGGAAUCUGCCUGAUAGUGGGGGACAACGUUGCGAAAGGAACGCUAAUACCGCAUACGUCCUACGGGAGAAGGCAGGGGACCUGCGGGCCUUGCGCUAUCAGAUGAGCCUAGGUCGGAUUAGCUAGUUGGUGGGGUAAUGGCUCACCAAGGCGACGAUCCGGAACUGGUCUGAGAGGAUGAUCAGUCACACUGGAACUGAGACACGGUCCAGACUCCUACGGGAGGCAGCAGUGGGGAAUAUUGGACAAUGGGCGAAAGCCUGAUCCAGCCAUGCCGCGUGUGUGAAGAAGGUCUUCGGAUUGUAAAGCACUUUAAGUUGGGAGGAAGGGCAGUAAGCUAAUACCUUGCUGUUUUGACGUUACCGACAGAAUAAGCACCGGCUAACUCUGUGCCAGCCGCCGCCGUAACAC